rnacentral:rRNA from 1 species
AGUGAACGCUGGCGGUAGGCCUAACACAUGCAAGUCGAACGGCAGCACAGUAAGAGCUUGCUCUUACGGGUGGCGAGUGGCGGACGGGUGAGGAAUACAUCGGAAUCUACUUUUUCGUGGGGGAUAACGUAGGGAAACUUACGCUAAUACCGCAUACGACCUACGGGUGAAAGCAGGGGAUCUUCGGACCUUGCGCGAUUGAAUGAGCCGAUGUCGGAUUAGCUAGUUGGCGGGGUAAAGGCCCACCAAGGCGACGAUCCGUAGCUGGUCUGAGAGGAUGAUCAGCCACACUGGAACUGAGACACGGUCCAGACUCCUACGGGAGGCAGCAGUGGGGAAUAUUGGACAAAGGGCGCAAGCCUGAUCCAGCCAUACCGCGUGGGUGAAGAAGGCCCUCGGGUUGUAAAGCCCUUUUGUUGGGAGAGAAAAGCAGCAGGUUAAUACCCCGCUGUUCUGACGGUACCCAAAGAAUAAGCACCGGCUAACUUCGUG